rnacentral:rRNA from 1 species
CAGUAGCCGCGGUAAUACAGAGGGUGCGAGCGUUAAUCGGAUUUACUGGGCGUAAAGCGUGCGUAGGCGGCUAAUUGAGUCGGAUGUGAAAUCCCCGAGCUUAACUUGGGAAUUGCAUUCGAUACUGGUUAGCUAGAGUGUGGGAGAGGAUGGUAGAAUUCCAGGUGUAGCGGUGAAAUGCGUAGAGAUCUGGAGGAAUACCGAUGGCGAAGGCAGCCAUCUGGCCUAACACUGACGCUGAGGUACGAAAGCAUGGGGAGCAAACAGGAUUAGAUACCCCGGUAGUCCCUGUCUCUUAUAC